rnacentral:tRNA from 1 species
GUCCCUGUAGCACAAUGGAUAGCGCUUUGGACUUUUAAUCCAAAGGUAGUGGGAUCGAAUCCCAUCUGGGUUG